CCUACGUGUGGCAGCAGUGGGGAAUAUUGGGCAAUGGGCGCAAGUCUGACCCAGCAACGCCGCGUGAAGGAAGAAGGCUUUCGGGUUGUAAAAUUCUUUUGUCAGGGACGAAGCAAGUGAUGGUACCUGACGAAUAAGCUACGGCUAACUACGUGCCAGCAGCCGCGGUAAUACGUAGGUGGCAAGGGUUAUCCGGAUAUAUUGGGUGGAAAGUGCGUGUAGGUGGGAAUGCAAGUCAGAUGUGAAAACUUUGGGCUCAACCCAUAAACUGCAUUUGAAACUGUAUUUCUUGAGUGCUGGAGAGGCGAUCGGAAUUCCGUGUGUAGCGGUGAAAUGCGUAGAUAUACGGAGGAACACCAGUGGCGAAGGCGGAUUGCUGGACAGUAACUGACGCUGAGGCGCGAAAGCGUGGGGAGCAAACAGGAUUAGAUACCCCAGUAGUC
rnacentral:rRNA from 1 species